UUGAUACUGUGAGGCUAGGAUUUGGUUGCUGUGGGCGGAAUGUGUGGUGUAGCGGUGAAAUGCUUAGAGAUCACACAGAAUAUCGAUUGCGAAGGCAGCUCACAAAGCCAAGAUUGACGCUGAGGCACGAAAGUGUGGGGAUCAAACAGGAUUAGAUACCCUGGUAGUCCACACUGUAAACGAUGAUAACUCGCUGUCGGCGAUAGACCGUCGGUGGCCAAGCGAAAGCGAUAAGUUAUCCACCUGGGGAGUACGACCGCAAGGUUGAAACUCAAAGGAAUUGACGGGGGCCCGCACAAGCGGAGGAACAUGUGGUUUAAUUCGAUGAUACGCGAGGAACCUUACCCGGGCUCGAACGGUGCAUGAAUGUUCAAGAGAUUGGACAGUCCUUCGGGACAUGUAUCGAGGUGCUGCAUGGUUGUCGUCAGCUCGUGCCGUGAGGUGUCGGCUUAAGUGCCAUAACGAGCGCAC
rnacentral:rRNA from 1 species